CCGGAUUUUACCAUUUGGGGCUGGGCUGUCGACAUGACGAGAACGACCGAGUAGAGUUCUGCUGAAUUUCAGGCGGCGAGAUUAGCCAGGCAAUUGUCUGCUUCUUCAUGCGUGUACCAAACUCAAGUGUCAGAAAAUUAAGAAGCCCAAUUAGAGACUGCCACCUGUCAGCAGUUCGUCAUUACCAUCCGAGAAUAUGACAUUUAUUCAUACGGCAGAGUGACGAGGCAGACGAAACGCACCAACGGUCGUGGUUUUUUCUGUGACAGUGCGAGAUGUUUUAUCCCAAG
ensembl:ncRNA lncRNA:CR45703 long non-coding RNA:CR45703